rnacentral:pre_miRNA from 1 species
UUUUAUGAAUGAGCAAAGAAAGUGGUUUCUUGAGAUGGAAUCUACUUCUGGCAAAGAUGCCAUGAAGA